CAAUUCUUUUGGGGAAGUAAAGAGGGUAAGCGAAAGCCUCAUUGGAUCUCGUGGCAAACGAUGACACAACCAAAAAAGGAUGGAGGACUUGAUUUGAGAGAUCUUGAGCUUUUCGACCUAGCAUUACAAGCGUGACAGGCUUUAUGUUCAACAAUUAUGCCUGAUUCUCUUUGUGCAAAGUUAUUCAAGGCAAUUUAUUUUUCGGAGGUAAGCUUUAUGGAUGAUGAUGUGGGCUCUCAUCCCUCACAGGUAUGGCGGUCGUUGAUUGAAGGGAGGGACGUGCUAGCUCAAGGGUUGAUCCGGAGGAUAGGAGACGGAAGUUCUACGCAUACAUGAGCACAUAAUUGGAUUCCCAGAGAUACAUCAAUGAAACCGAUUGCUUGCUUGGGGCCGAACCCACCAGUUUUAGCGUCAAAGCUGAUCGACACUACAAACGUAGUGUGGCGAUCCGAUCUUCUAUAG
rnacentral:rRNA from 1 species